rnacentral:snRNA from 1 species
GUGCUUGCUUUGGCAGCACAUAUAAUAAAAUUGGAAUGAUACAGAGAAGAUUAACAUGGCCCCUGUGCAAGGAUGACAUGUAAAUUCGUGAAGCAUUGCUUAUUUUU